GCCUGGGUGGCUCAGUUGGUUAAGCGUCCGACUUUGGCUCAGGUCAUAUCUCACGGUUCAUGAGUUCAAGUCUCACAUCAGGCU
rnacentral:tRNA from 1 species